rnacentral:lncRNA from 1 species
GAUGAAACAGGUGAAGAGACACACUGUUCAAGAAGACCAAUGAAAUACAAACCAUGGAAAGCUCUGACAAACCAGGUGGAAAACUGUCCCGAUAACCAGGGUGAACUUGACUCUUCCCUGUUGCGGCCAAAGAACAUUCAUUCUGUGGAGAUAAGAAGCAACCCAUCUGCAUCCUUUCGAUGAAAUAACAGCAAAUGGAGGCAAGAACUGAUCAGGAGAGAGAACAGUGAGCAAGAAUUACAUCCUGCGUGGAAGAAAGCCCUAAAUAAUGUCAGUCUUAGAGGAGCCAGCCAGCCGAGACAAGAUUCCCAUAAAAAUCAAACUGCAAAGAAAUAAAGAAAAGGUGUUAAAGUUCAUGGCUGGAAAGCCAUGUUUUUCUGCUGGCCCCUGUGGGAGGGGAGUUAUUAUUUUAGUGUGGGAAUAGGAAUAUAACAAUCUUUCCCAAUCAGAAUAGGUUUGGAUGGGUUACCAUGAUUCACACGCUGUGACUCACAUAUGAAAAUUCUCACUAGUCUAUUACUAAUAGUUUAUAUCCCUUAAAAAGGAGACAAGAUGAAGCAGAGGGAUUACAUAAUUCGUUUCUUUUCAACUUCUACCUUGGAUUUAUCUGACAUGAUAAUUUCAGAAACAGAAACUUUCUCUCCUUCCUGCAAAGAGAAAAAUAAAAUCUCAUUACUUUCUUCAGUAACCACAUUUUCAAAAUACUUGUUAAAAUCAACCUCCAUGCUGUUGUUGUCACACUUUACAAAUCACUGUGUAAGAAAUUAAUCUUCUUGCAUGGUGUCACCUCGACCCAUGUCAGCUUUGUUAGGAGGAAGGUUACAUUGAUAUGAUCCCUCUCCCUAAGAUUUCUUCACUGCCAAUAGUUAUUCUAAAAUAUGCUUAUUAUGUGUUUUUGAAUUACAUUUGUCAUUUGAAUUAUGUUUAUCAAGAUUUAAAAAUCCAUCAGUUCAUCAGAAUGCAAUUAAGUAGACUACUUCCCCACCGCUCAUUCAUGUCAUCGAAAGGAUCGAUCGAGUGCAAUAAAAACAUCAAGCCAGGCAUGUUAAAGUGAUUUAAAAAUAAAUUUCAUUUGUUCCAUUUUAUUAAAGACUUAGGCAUACCUAAUCACGAAUACUCUAACCUGGUAUAUUCCAGACCUAUUGAUGAUUCGAACCUUGUCUAGAUUCUACUUGGGUAUGUCCUGUUGAAUGUAAAAUUAUAAACUUCCUGAAGAAUAAAGGAGUUCAUGCACUGUUUUAAUUCAACUGCCAUGACUUCCUUGUGCCAGACCUACAUAACCAUCAUAAUGGUGACCGUGGUGAUGAAUAUAUGUUAUUCAUCUGAGUAAGUGCAGUGGCUUAGGUACUUUGCACAUAUGCAUUUAAAUCCACCCCUCACACUGCAAGUUUGAGGAAAUAGUUUCAAAGAGGUUGAAUAAUGUACCAAAUGAGCUAGUGGUAGCUGAGCUGCAGUCCCAAACCAGGUCAACCUCUUUCCAGCAUUGAUGGGAUGCCUAAUUAACAUUCUACCAAAUGAAAGGAUAAACUUACUUUGAAAGAUUUUAACAAGGCACUGGAUUAAGGCCAAAAUGUUAAUUUGGAAGCCAAGGAAUUUAUUUAUUUAAGAUUUUGUUUAUUUAUUGAGAGAGAGUGUGUGCUGGGGUGGGGGCGGAGGAGAGGGAGAGAGAGAGAGAGAAUCUCAAGUAGACUCUUUGCUGAGCAUGGAGCCCCGUGGGGCUCGAUCUCAUGACCUUGAGCUGCCCAGGUGCCCCUGGAGGCCAAGGAAUUAGAUUGGCCCUCUGCCUUGCUUAGCCUAACCAGUCAAUUUCUACUUCAUUGGGUGCCUAUGGAUUUGACUCUCAAGGAAUACGCCCUUGGAAGAACUAAGAGGGAAAAAAAUUUCUUUGGCCAGUGCUUCUUCAAACAAUUAUCUAAAGCUCUCUUUGUGCGUGGGUCUCCCCCGAGAGCCAGACAUGAAUCAGGUUUUAAAUCAACUUCUUUCUGCCUAGAAAUUUCAAAGCAACACGGGUUCCUCAGAAGGAGACUCAGGGAGAGCAGGAUAGCAGGAUAAGUGGAAGAAAACUUGGCUGCAAAGUUCUCACACUGCGUCAGCUCAACCCGGUCAGCUUUGUGGAGGUUUCCUAGCUGUGGCUUCCGCUGGAUCGGCCUGGGUUCCUAUGCCCCCAGCCGUAGCAUGCGGUCCCAUGGUCAGGGUGAGCUGUUGUCCUUCCUGUCUGGGACCCCAUGUAAGGCACAAGAGAUGCCCCUCAACAUAAAUCGGCUUUAGGGUAAAGGAAUCAAAACAGGAGUCAUAUCCUGUCACUCUACUCACGAGCCAGGAAUUUUGAGAGACCGAAAGAUAUUGACCAAGAAAACACAGUUUUUUGGAAGUAAUUGAUACCAGGGUUCUCUCCUAAGACAUUUAAAUAGUUGUUUCCAGAAGACAAAUACUCACAAACCCCCUUACUGUCCACUUUUUAAGAUACACUGAAUUGGAACAUGACAUACAUUCAGAAAAGGGUACAAAUCCCAAAUGUAUAGCCCAAUAAAUUUUCACAACAGGAGGUAUCUAUGUUACCAAAUCCAUUUCAGGAAAUACCACUAACCAGAAGCCCUUCCAGAGCAGCAACUCUUCUGACUUUAAUUGUUAGACAAUAGAUUCAUUUUGCCUGUGUUUUUCAUUUAUAUAAUUAGAAUACGCUGUUGUACCCUGCAAUGGUUACUUUUAUGUCACCUUGACUGGGUCAUGAGGUCUUGGGACAGUUUGUCAAGCAUUAUUCUGUGUAUGUCGGAGCAUGUUUCUGGUUGAGAUCAACACCUGAAUUGGUGAAUUGAGUGAAGCAGAUUGACUCCCCUGCAAGGGUGGGCCGCACCCAAUCAGUUGAAGGCCUGACUCCCUCAAGAAAGGCUAAGAGGGAGCUCCUCCUGUGCGGCUUUGAGCGGAGACUCAGUUUUUCUUGUGCUUGGAUGUGAAGUUUUCCUGUGUCUCCAGCCUGCCUGUCUUGGGUUGGAACUUCUAUCAUCAACUCUCCUGGGUCUCAAGCUUACUGCAGCAAUCCUGUGACUUUACAGUCUCUAUAAUCACAUGAGCCAAUUCCUUAUAACAAAUAAUGAAUCUCUCUCUGUCCCCCUUUCUCUAUACAUGUAUAUGUAUAUGUAAUUGGUUCUGUUUCUCUAGAGAACUGUAAUACAUACCCUGCUCGCUUUUACAGUAUUUUUAUAUAAUAUAGUGAACAAAGUUGUGUUAAUUAACAAA